UACGUAGGGUGCGAGCGUUAAUCGGAAUUACUGGGCGUAAAGGGUGCGCAGGCGGUCCUGCAAGUCAGGCGUGAAAUCCCCGGGCUUAACCUGGGAAUGGCACUUGAAACUAUGGGACUGGAGUAUGGCAGAGGGAGGUGGAAUUCCACGUGUAGCGGUGAAAUGCGUAGAGAUGUGGAGGAACACCGAUGGCGAAGGCAGCCUCCUGGGCCAAUACUGACGCUCAUGUGCGAAAGCGUGGGGAGCAAACAGG
rnacentral:rRNA from 1 species